CUUAAAACCAAGCAUUCCAUAUUAACUGCAGUGUAAAUAUAUAGCUACAUGCAAAAACACAACAAGGUGGCUCAAUCACAAAAAAAGUUAUUAAGUUUUUUGUCUCUCCUGAAAAGUAGGGGUUUUGUGGAUACGCCCCUAUGGUUUGAGACCCGCGAUAUAUUUGUCGUUCUUAAAAUA